CGUAGGGUGCAAGGCGUUAAUCGGAAUUACUGGGCGUAAAGCGUGCGCAGGCGGUUUCGUAAGUCUGUCGGUGAAAUCCCCGGGCUUAACCUGGGAAUGGCGAUGGAGACUGCGAGGCUAGAGUUUGGCAGAGGGGGGUAGAAUUCCACGUGUAGCAGUGAAAUGCGUAGAGAUGUGGAGGAACACCGAUGGCGAAGGCAGCCCCCUGGGUCAAAACUGACGCUCAUGCACGAAAGCGUGGGGAGCAAACAGGAUUAGAUACCCUGGUAGUCCACGCCCUAAACGAUGUCUACUAGUUGUUGGGUCUUAAUUGACUUAGUAACGCAGCUAACGCGUGAAGUAGACCGCCUGGGAGUACGGUCGCAAGAUUA
rnacentral:rRNA from 1 species